UUAAUGGUGCGCACAAAAAAAAAGAAAGAAAAAAAAAACCCCAAAACAAACUAAAUCUACUAAAACAGAAUUUUGUAUCAGUUUCUGUAUCAGUUUAUUUCUGCUGUUAUGUAAUAUAUAGCAUUUAUUAUAGCUGUCUAUGGAGACUGACUUCAGCUUUCAGUCACCUCUUCUGUGGAACCAGUUUUGGGAGACAGACACGCUCUAUACUUUUUUAAACAUUAGGCUUCUUUGUUGACAACGCCCACCUGUGCCCUCUGCCUCUCACCAAGGACAAAGGGCUGGUCUCUUGGCCUUGCCUGGUCUCUCACCCAGGAUCAAUUUAUCAUUGGAGACCCUGCCAGGGGGAAAAAGGCCUCAAACAACGUAGCCACUGGGAUUCCUGGGACACCAUGAUAAGAAGCCACACAGGAAACACCCCUGCUCACUGCCUUUGCACUUCAGCCUUCAAUCUGCAGGAAGACAACUUGGAGGUGACAACUCUGUGCAUCAGAUGAUGGGAACAUAGACUCACAUAGCAAAACUAACAUGAGAACACCAACACCAGCACAUGCACCAUCAACAAUGUUUAUCCAGAUGACAGUGGGGAGUACUGGUGUCAGGCUGAUGGGAACAGAAGCAACAGUAUCAACAUCUCUGUCAUUGGUAACGAGAUGAAGAUUGACUGUCCUCUAGUCCCAUUCUCUACAGCUUUGGCCUCAGUGACACUCCACCACAAGGAGAAGCAGGAACCAGCACAAAGAUGUCCUCAGCAGGCAUCUUCCAGAGAGCUCACUGAUGAAUGAAUCACAUCUGUCUGUGAGAGUGAAUACAAACCCAAUUUAUCAUGCAUUGUUUUUGUAACCGAACAAGCUGUACAUUCUCAUGUGAUUUGGAUUAUAUGCAUGUCUAUAAAUUUUAUGAGUUGCCUGUAUUCAGUUAAAUACAGCAGUCAGGCAGACCUACAUGGCUGUAAGUACAUAAAAAGUUCAAAUGGUAAGAAGAGCAACCGUCUGUUAUUUAGAAGUUGAAUUUAAACCAACUUGUUCCAUCUGCUUUGUCUUUUAAAAGUUGUAUAAAUACCAUUACAUGAAAAAAGCUCAAAGUGGUCAACCACUAAUCUGAAAAUGUCACAAGUUUAUAGUCAGCUGUGAAAGACACGUGCAAAGUUUGAUACUGAGUAUGUCACUAACUGAACUGUGGUCUAGUACCCAGAAAGAAUAUCUGGUGUCUUGUUUCAUGCUGCAGCAAUAUUUGUUCAAUAUAGUCAAAGAAAAUGAAGUUGCUUUCUA